AAUGUGAACGUUACCAAACUGUUGCCUCGGCGGGAUCUCUGCCCCGGGUGCGUCGCAGCCCCGGACCAAGGCGCCCGCCGGAGGACCAACCAAAACUCUUAUUGUAUACCCCCUCGCGGGUUUUUUUUAUAAUCUGAGCCUUCUCGGCGCCUCUCGUAGGCGUUUCGAAAAUGAAUCAAAACUUUCAACAACGGAUCUCUUGGUUCUGGCAUCGAUGAAGAACGCAGCGAAAUGCGAUAAGUAAUGUGAAUUGCAGAAUUCAGUGAAUCAUCGAAUCUUUGAACGCACAUUGCGCCCGCCAGUAUUCUGGCGGGCAUGCCUGUCCGAGCGUCAUUUCAACCCUCGAACCCCUCCGGGGGGUCGGCGUUGGGGAUCGGCCCUGCCUUGGCGGUGGCCGUCUCCGAAAUACAGUGGCGGUCUCGCCGCAGCCUCUCCUGCGCAGUAGUUUGCACACUCGCAUCGGGAGCGCGGCGCGUCCACAGCCGUUAAACACCCAACUUCUGAAAUGUUGACCUCGGAUCAGGUAGGAAUACCCGCUGAACUUAAGCAUAUCAAUAAGCGGAGGAAAAGAAACCAACAGGGAUUGCCCCAGUAACGGCGAGUGAAGCGGCAACAGCUCAAAUUUGAAAUCUGGUCCCUAGGGCCCGAGUUGUAAUUUGUAGAGGAUGCUUUUGGUGAGGUGCCGCCCGAGUUCCCUGGAACGGGACGCCACAGAGGGUGAGAGCCCCGUCUGGCUGGCCGCCGAGCCUCUGUAAAGCUCCUUCGACGAGUCGAGUAGUUUGGGAAUGCUGCUCAAAAUGGGAGGUAUAUGUCUUCUAAAGCUAAAUAUUGGCCAGAGACCGAUAGCGCACAAGUAGAGUGAUCGAAAGAUGAAAAGCACCUUGAAAAGAGGGUUAAAUAGUACGUGAAAUUGUUGAAAGGGAAGCGCUUGUGACCAGACUUGGGCGCGGCGGAUCAUCCGGGGUUCUCUCCGGUGCACUUCGCCGCGUCUAGGCCAGCAUCAGUUCGUCGCGGGGGAAAAAGGCUUCGGGAACGUGGCUCCUCCGGGAGUGUUAUAGCCCGUUGCAUAAUACCCUGCGGUGGGACUGAGGACCGCGCAU
rnacentral:sRNA from 1 species